CUAUGUUCGGAAGAGAUAACCGCUGAAAGCAUCUAAGCGGGAAACUUGCCUCAAGAUGAGAUCUCACUGGGAUCUUGAAUCCCCUGAAGGGCCGUCGAAGACUACGACGUUGAUAGGUUGGGUGUGUAAAGCGCUGUGAGGCGUUGAGCUAACCAAUACUAAUUGCCCGUGAGGCUUGACCAU
rnacentral:ncRNA from 1 species